GGACCCGCACAAGCGGUGGAUUAUGUGGAUUAAUUCGAUGCAACGCGAAAAACCUUACCUACCCUUGACAUGUCCGGAAGCCUGGUGAGAGCCGGGGGUGCCCGAAAGGGAACCGGAACACAGGUGCUGCAUGGCUGUCGUCAGCUCGUGUCGUGAGAUGUUGGGUUAAGUCCCGCAACGAGCGCAACCCUUGUCAUUAGUUGCUACAUUCAGUUGGGCACUCUAAUGAGACUGCCGGUGACAAACCGGAGGAAGGUGGGGAUGACGUCAAGUCCUCAUGGCCCUUAUGGGUAGGGCUUCACACGUAAUACAAUGGCGCGUACAGAGGGCUGCUAAGCCGCGAGGUAGAGCCAAUCCCUUAAAGCGCGUCGUAGUCCGGAUUGCAGUCUGCAACUCGACUGCAUGAAGUCGGAAUCGCUAGUAAUCGCGGAUCAGCAUGUCGCGGUGAAUACGUUCCCGGGUCUU
rnacentral:rRNA from 1 species